CUUGGCGGAGGAGGAGGGGGCUGAGGAGAUGUCUGCCAUUAGGCAUGUUUAUCCUGACAAGUAGGAGAUUCGUAAGGCAAAUAUCAAAGGCCACGGUAAGCUCAGGAAGUUCAGACUGGUGUGGAUGUUCAGCCUCCUGUUUAAAGACUGCUGAUAACGGUUCUAGAAAUAGCAUCAUCUUCUAGUAGACACUUUUUCUUCUUAAAGAAAAAAGUGUAUCAUCGAAAUGAGACUGUUCGGGAAAGGAGAGGGUAUUAAUAAGAAAAGUUGUUUACUAAUAUAACUUGCCUCCUAAUGCUUUGGCAACAUUGCUUAGGUCUGAAAGGCAUUCCCCCCUCGCCCCCCCCCCCCCCCUUUUUUAAUACAAAAAUGAUAUCUGUAAAACAUGAUUGUAUAAGCCAGGCAUAAUUCCACCAGUAAUCAGGCGACUCGCUCAGCCUGGCUUGUCCUUGUUACGAACUAAUAAUAGAUAAUAAAAUAGUGUGUAGCUGUUACAGUUGUUACCAUUGUAAUCAUAUUUUUGAGGGCCAGAGAUUUUGGUGGCGUCAGUUACAGGUUUUGACAUCUAACCGUGUGAAACUCUCUGCUAGUCUCAAUAAAUGCUGCGCAGAUGCUCAUCUUGGUGCUGGAAAAACCAAUGUCAUUUGUUUGUUUCUCCAAGCAUGCAGGGAGAAAGACAAUUCAUAACAGAUACUGUCAGUCACAACUCUUCCUCUGAAACUUAGGAUCAGGCUCCAGCAGUCCUGCUGCUUAACCCAGUGCAGUGAAGAAGGGGCAAAUUUUAUGGAACUUCGUAGACCUAGAGGCACCAGAAUGUCUUUUAGGGAAAAACAGGUUCAAGAGGGCUAUCAGAUUAUUCAUAUGUGUGUAAACUCUCAAAGCUGUCAAAGCUAUCAGACAUAUUUGUAUACAAAGCCCAGUGAUCGUGUGUGACCAGAUUUUGAAUCACUGUAUACAAUUUGCCUAUAAUUUUGAUAUUUUUCAUAUUAUUUAGCUAUAAUUUGGCAGUUUGGCAUUGACCAAGACAGCUGUGCUGUUCUAUAGCUUGACCUCUCUCCAGGACAGACAAAUAUAUCAACUGCAAAGUGAUAUUAAUGCCAGAGUGUGGUUUUUAUCCUCUGGGACCGCAUUGCUAGCUUGGGAUUCAGGCUUGCUGCAGAGUGAGCUCUGGACAGCCUGGUCAUCAAGCUGUAAUUUCUUUAUCCUUCUCCUGUAACAAAAACCUUGCUUCAUUUUUUUGAAUAGCAGCAAUUUGAAGGUGCUGAGAUGUUUGUAAUAGAGGUGCUUGGAGAUGGAAAUUUUUCAGUCUGGUGGAGGAGAGAAACUAUUUGGACAUCACUGCUUGUAAACAAAGGCAUCUAUUCUCCAAAGCUCUGAGCUCUAAGUGCACUGUGUGAGCAAAUGCCCAUGUCUCUGGAGAUAACAGCAGUAAAUGUAAUCAGCUGUGUCUCAAAGCCAGGGUAACAUUUCCUUCCUGAUCUUGCCUCUCUGCCAUUUUGUUAUCAUUGAUUGCACGUUUGUCUUCUUGCAGGCGCUCCUGGUUUGCUCCUGUGUCAGCAGCAGAUUCCCCCAGUCAAGGGGACCAUGUUACAUUUGAGAUCCCUAAUGAAUGCUGCACUAAUUAACUUUGGUCCUAGAAGGUCACUGAAUGAUGCAGUGGGAUGCUCUUAUUAACCUUACCCUGAGAGUUACAAUCUGGACUGACACACUUUUCCCCAGUGUUCUGGCAGCAUCACAAGGAUUGCUGGCAAUGAAGUCACCUUCAAAGCUGAGGCAUUCGUGAAGCAAAUGCAUUUCUGGAAGCAAUUGUUCUUUUCCCCAUGCUGCCAUUGGACUAAACUUUACUGCCUGAGGAAAAGUUGCAAGCUCAAAGGAGGAGACACUGCACUGAAGACAGUAAACAGCUCAACAUGAACACAAGCUCUUUGCUUUUGCAAACUCUGCUGGGAGAACAAAAAGAAGUGUACUGAAUAAUUCAGCCUUGAGAGUGAAUUGAGCUUGAGGAGAAUUGUUGAAUUCCCAAGUCUGUGGUUUGUGGUUUUUGUUAUUGACUGCUCACAUGGAUUGAAAGUCUUGUCUCUGCAGUUGGUGGUUUUUAUCUCCCCUUCGGAUUCUGCAAUUUUAUCUGGCUUUCCAUCCCUGAACACCAGCUCUCUGUUCUUCAAAUAAACACACAAGAACCAUUGAAGCACCUUUCUGCUUCCAAGGGGAGCCAUAGAUAGCCUGCUACACUAAUAAAUCAAAAUUGAACUUCGGACCUGAAUGCUGAAGAUAGUCCUAUGAAAGUUGAUGGAGUCAUCAUGCUAAGUAUGAGGCACUCUUCCUACUAUCCUCCCCUCAUGUGCUGGAAUAUCCAAAUUCUCAAGGAAGGCGAAAGUUUGAUGUCAGAAAAGAACCUCCUGAGAAUGGGGUGUCUUAACUCACCCUGAAAUUUGUUAUUUAUAUUAACAUGCUGAUGGAACAAUAGGAGCUGGUCCUGCAUUUUAUGCACUGGCAGCCAAUAAGUAAAAAAAAACACCCAAGUUAAUAUCAUUUGAGAAUUUGUAAAUGAACAAAAUAUAGAGCCCAUUUUCUGCAAGGUGGAAUGAUGAUGCAAUACCUGUCACUGAAAGUAGCUUGCCCAGAAAAAUGUUGUGAGAGCCUAGCCAGUAGUCAGGACUCUGUAUAAAACCUGAACCAUGCUCAUCAUUUCUUAAAGCCACUGAAUAAAGUAAAUGUUAUUACCUCUAAACCAUUUUUCCCUAGCUCAAAAAGCAGAAUCAAGUGCAGAAAAAAAAAAUAUAGCCUGAAAAUUGUUAUCACACUGUCUAGUAGAACUUUUAUUUAAUUAACUCUUAUUGACAAUCUCACUGAGUAGUAUAGUUCAUAUAAGUAAAUAUCUGAGCUCAGUCAUAAUGUGGACUGCAGGAAAGCUCUGUUAAUGUAUUUCCACUGAGCUGCUUGCAGCUAUAAAUUGACAUUUCCUAACCAAAAGAAAGAAAAAAAAAAAGUUUGGCAGUUUUGUGAUGAAUUUUUAAGAGAAUGCUAAGGAAGUGACUUUGAGUGAGGAGGAUAUGGUCCCUUAUCCUUGAACUUGAAGAGAUAACAGAACCUUAACCUAAAAAAGGAAAAAUACCAAACCAAACCAAACCACAGCCCAAACCAAAUUCUUACUACCCAAGGAAAAAACCCUCAUUUUUGAUUCAUGGUAAAUUAAUGCUUUGUAACUUAGAGAUAUCACUAGUGUUUCUGUAGUCAUGGACUUCUUUGAAAGACAGCUAAAUCUAGAAAACUUUCUAAAUUAAGUGACAGGUCAGAUGGGAUCUGCUUGCAAGUGAAACAAAUCCACAAGUCUCCUUGUGGAAGGAUGAAAAUUUUUAUUCCUUUUAGAUCUAUCUUUAGUUCUGAUUAACAUAUAAUCAAAUAAACUGGAGUCCAUCCAGAAGGCAGUUUUGGUUAAAAAUAGUCAGUUAACUGCAUCAAGAAUAUGCUUUCUGCAAGGCAUUCUUGAGUAGGAAAUGUAGAAAUGGUGUCUGUUCUGGGCUAAAAAUCCCUUUCGCCACAAGCAGGAAUUCAAAUCAGAGUUGCAGCACAUGCAUGCACACUGUUUCAAUUGCCAGAACACUUCUGGUUUUAGUUAAAGGGAACAACCCAUGUCCCUAAAGGCUGGUGCUUCCCAGUGUGAACCAGGGCUGCCCCUGGAGGGGUCCUGGAAUGCUGGUGUGAGGAUCCUGAGGCAGAAUCCAUUCCUUAAAUCUCUGGCUAAGGAUGAAAACCUUACCUUGAAACUGCCCAGCUUUUAUAACAGCUGACUUGGGCACAGCCUUGUUUCUGGGCAAGGGAAUGACAGGAAUAACAAAUCCCUCUUAUCCAGGUGAAGGAGGAGAGGAAGGAAUCCCAGGGGAACAAUAACAAGUCCCUCUUAUCCAGGUGAAGGAGGAGAGGAAGGAAUCCCAGGGGAACAAUAACAAGUCCCUCUUAUCCAGGUGAAGGAGGAGAGGAAGGAAUCCCAGGGGAACAGGGUGCUUUGGCCACACUGUAACUGGUGGUACCUCGGUGCCAUGUGUGCCAGCCUCCUGUUCUUGUGCAGCCACAGCACCCAGAGCCGGGCAUCAAUCAGCACAGGACAGGGAGAGUUGUAUGGGAUCUUGGGCAUCUCCCUUCCCAACAGACUAGCAAACAGCUCCUCUGCCCUAUUGCAGUUGAAACACUGGGGGAAUAAAUGAGCUGUGCUGCUGUGUGAGAUACUUUUGAGGGAGAAGCAGGUAAGCUGUUUCUUUGGCAGAGGCAUAAUUUAAACUUGUGACUGAGUCCCUUGUGUAAAUGAGUUUUUCCAACACAAUAUAAACACUUCCAUCAGCAGAAUCGUGUUUUUUAGAAAUGUAUCUCUUUGUGAUGCUGAGGCAAAGGACAUUGCAAGACUGCUUUAUUUGUUGUAAUAAUUAUAACCUAUCCCUUAGAAUAGUUUUUUUCCCACCCUGUGAUCACCUCCCCAAACAGCUAGGAGCUAUUUUUCCUUCUCUGAGGAUGUUCUGAUGAAGCUGAUGCUGUGUGGUCGGUCCUGGCCACCUGCUUUACUUGGUCAUGUGAAUGUUUUCCUGAGUCAUACUCCCAAAAUACAUUGUUGCCUAAAUCUAGGGAAAACUGACAAUCGGUAGCAGUUGAACUUUCAUGUUACAGCAGAACUUAUGUUAAAAAUAAAUUCUCACAAACGAUUACUUUCUGGAAUACAUUAAUUGCUUGCUAAGAAACUAGGUAAGCACCUAGUUCACCAUGUGAGAAGGGCUUCUCUUGCCAUUAAUUACUCCAGGAACUAAAGUCCACACCAAAACACUACAUAGGAAAUUGAGAUUAAUGUUCCAUACUUUUCUGGCUAAAUAUUGAAGCUGUCACAGAAAUGUUCUCCAGCCUAUGUCAGCUGCUGCUAGCUUUCAGAGCUCAUUCUUCUUUAGGCGCUGAGAUUUUCAGCUCUUUUCAACCCAGGAAUAUCUCUGCAGCCAGAAGAGUUAAGGUUGCUUUAGCAAGGCAGAGGGCACAGGCCUCAUCUAUAAGUUGUUCUCUGAGCCAGAACCUGUGGGAAAAAAUGUUUUCUGUGAUGAAAUUACUCCUGGCCUCACCUUUUCCAAUGUGAUCUUUGUGAGGUGCUGUUUUACUGAAAUCCUGCUGUUUUGGCUAUUAUGGAUUUUGAUUUUGGAACAGUGCCUGCCUUUGGGAGAGGAUUCUGAACAGUAUUCCAGGUGGCUGGUGGAGCCCACCUUGGAGUCUGGAGGAAAGAGGGGAAAUGUAAAGUGGGGUGCUGGUCCCAGUAUUCCCUAGGGCUGUCUCUGCAGAGCUGCUGGGAGUGGGUUGAUGCCAGCAGUCCCCUUGGUCAGUAACAGAGCUAGUUUGAAUUUUGCUGAGGUGUGUGCCUGACUCCAUGGAUUUUGUGUGAAAGCCAGUGGCCUCUUUCCCCCAUACUUGAAAAUAAAAGGUGAAGAAUGCAUAAUCCACUCUGGACUUGUGCUGGCUGGAACAGGGUUUGGAACACAAACUUAGGCUUCUGGGGAGAAGCAAACAGAGUGAGUUGACAAUGUGAAGCCAUUGCAAAAAGAGACAAAUGUGACUCUGCAGUUUAUGGUGAGGAAUAUUGCAUGAAAGACAAAGAACGUAAUUGUUCUGAUUUGAAAUUGCCGAUGCUUCAUCUAACAAAAGUUUUGGAUACUGCAAUUUCAGAUACAGACGAGUUGAAGAGUCUCCAGAAGAAAAGAAAGAAAAAUAAUCUUACAAAACAAUGAUUUGUAAGCAUUUCCUGUGAGAAAAAGCUAAAAGAAAUAGGUUUCAUAAGCUUUUCUAAAAGAGAAUGAUGUUAUGACUGUGGAAAAAUUGUUGGUUUUGUAGCCAGGUUUUCUGGCUUCUUCAAAUAGAAAUUGAGUGUGAUUACAUGGAAAAAUGGGGCAAAAUAUAAUCAACACAACAUAUAGGGAAAGUAAAUGCAGUUUUCUAUUCAAUAGAAGGGGAUCUAACCAAAAAAGAAAAGAAUUGAAGUGAGAAUGCAUUUUUGUCUCAAAUGAAAAUCGUGCAAAAGCAUUUUACAUUGAUGUCUUAAAAGUGGUUUAGUUUAGCAAAACUUUCUUUUGAUUUAAAAUAUUUUUCUUGAGUGAAUAAGCGUGCCUUGCUGUUGAAUGUGUAUUAAGUUCAGAAAAAACAUAAAAGGUUGUCCUAAUUUUCCCAAAUGCAGCCUAUCUCGGGUCAUUCAAUAUCCAGUGCAGCUCCCACCAAAUUCCUUGUGAAGAAAGUGGUGACUUUUUCCACACUGUAAAACAGCCUUUACUCCCAAAGUUGGGUAAAAGCAAAGGGAUCUGUGGGGGUGCCUGUGUUUGGGGUAUUUCAGUGCGUGGUAGCAGUCAGUUCUGGGAUUUGUUUCUCUGUGCGGGGUCUGGGGAUUUUAGUUCAAGGUGGAUCUCAUCUUGUUCUCUACAUCCUAAGUUCCCGCUGUAAAUUGUGGGCUCACUUCAGCACUGCGGUGUUGCAUAGAACCAAGGGAUUAGAAGAUGAAACCUUUACAGUUCUUUCUUUGAAUCACACAGUGGACUUAACUUUUCACACUUUCUCUUUUUUCACCUUUACUCCAAAAAUGGAAAAUGAUUAAACCAGACAGGUAUGUCUACUUCUCAGUGUAUACUUUAUCAAAGUGCAGAUGUGAGCAAACUAAGGAAUAUGUGAUAUGAUUUUUUAUUGGUAAUUCUCUUUACUGAACUGUCAGUGGUGACUUAAAUUUCUCUACAUCACAUAACAAAGACGUUAUUGGUAAUAUCUUUGCUCUUCCUUGGCAGACAUGCCAAAUAUCAAGCGUACAGAAAUUUAAUCUCAUUAUUGAUAGCAACUAGACAUUUUUAAGAUAUCCAUCAAAAAGAUCUUUGAACUUUUUGUUCUGUCCAACAACUUUAUACUCAGAAAACAAGGAGAAAUUAUAAUUAAAUAUGAUCACCGUGUUUUUCCAAAUGCUCAUCUGUCUCUCACAGGAGAUUUUAACCUUUGAUCAAAGUAUCUAAAACUACACAGUAAAGACCUUGAUAAUUAACAAGUCAAGAUUUACACUCAUUUCUCACAACAUAAGCCAUAUUCGUGGGAAUGUAGAAACAGUCUCUUCUGAGUGGAUUUUCUGCUUUUCACAUUGAAACCAACAUUGAUUAAUAAAUUUUAAUUAACUUACUGUAGCCUUACAUUAUCAGAGUGUAAUUUCUUAAGCUGAGAG